CCGCCCGCCGCCCGCCGUCCACCGUCCACCGUCCACCGUCCACCGUCCACCGUCCACCGCCCACCGUCCACCGCCCCCCCGGUCCAUCAUGGAGCCGAGCACCCGGUACACGGCGCUGCUGGGCGCCGGCCUGCUGACGCUGGUACUCGGCGUCGUGCUCGGCUGGUACGGCUUCCCCACCAUCAUCGACAACAUGAUCGAGAAGGAAAUGGUGCUGACCGAAGACUCGGAGAGCUUUGAUCCCUGGAGAGCUCCAACGUCAGAGAUCGAUGUGUUCAUGCAGUUCAUUAUGUUCAACGUCACUAAUCCUGCAGAGGUUAAAAGAGGAGACAAGCCAAUUUUGAAGGAAGUUGGUCCAUUUUCAUACAAGGAAAACCGUCAGCGCAUCAACCUGACGUGGUCGGAGGACGGCACAGAGCUCACCUACUACGAGGUGAUCUCCUACUUCUACGACCAGCCGUCGUCCUCGCCGGACGUCAGCGAGGACACCAUCAUCUCCACCAUCAACGCGCCCAUGGUGGUGCUCGCUGCGAUGGGAGACGAGCUUCCCCUGGGAAAGUCAGUGCUCUUUGGAAUGAUUAACACGUAUGAGAAGGGAGAGAGUUUCAAGCUGUACAAGGCUGGCGAGCUACUCAUGUCCGGUGUCGACGACCCUCUGAUGGCGGCGGUGGCUGCCAGCCCGCUCUCUGUUCUGCUGCCGCCCACCUUCAGCGAUGGAAAAUUCCGGCUCUAUGGGUACAAUAACACCGUGGACGGGCCGUACACGAUCAAGACGGGCAAGGACGACAUCAACCAGUUCACUCGGAUCCUGUCGUACCAGAACGCCUCCGAGCUCAGCUACUGGAGCACUGACUACUGCAACAUGCUGAACGGCACCGACGGCAUCAGCUACCCGCCCAACACGGGCGAGGUGGACCGCGUCUACAUCUUCAACAAGGACCUCUGCAGGUCGAUUUACCUCGACUACGAGAAGGACGUGGAGUAUUUCGGCAUCCCUGGCCGCCGGUUCGCGCCCACCAGGGACGUCCUGGAGGACCCCGCCAUCAACGAGGACAACCAGUGCUACUGCGUGGGAAAGUGCCUGAAGGCGGGCGUCAUGUCGCUCAGCCCCUGCCAGUACGGUCAGUGCUCCAAUAUUCACUGCCAGUACAUGCAGUCAGUGCUCACUACCAGCACCUACGGUCAGUGCUCCCUGCCCCUUCCUGUCCUUGUCAAUUGCCACAGUACCCUCGGCCUGCGCGGCCAGCGUUCCCUACCAGUACAGUCAGCGCUCCCUGCCAUUACAGUCAGCGCUCCCUGCCAGUACAGUCAGCGCUCCCUGCCAGUACAGUCAGCGCUCCCUGCCAGUACAGUCAGCGCUCCCUGCCAGUACAGUCAGCGCUCCCUGCCAGUACAGUCAGCGCUCCCUGUCAGUACAGUCAGCGCUCCCUGCCAUUACAGUCAGUGCUCCCUGCCAUUACAGUCAGCGCUCCCUGCUAGUACAGUCAGCGCUCCCUGCCAGUACAGUCAGUGCUCCCUGCCAGUACAGUCAGUGCUCCCUGUCAGUACAGUCAGUGCUCCCUGCCAGUACAGUCAGUGCUCCCUGCCAGUACAGUCAGCGCUCCCUGCCAAUACAGUCAGCGUUCCCUACCAGUACAGUCAGCGCUCCCUGCCAUUACAGUCAGCGCUCCCUGCCAGUACAGUCAGCGCUCCCUCCCAGUACAGUCAGCGCUCCCUGCCAGUAGUAGUACAGUCAGCGCUCCCUGCUAGUACAGUCAGCGCUCCCUGCCAUUACAGUCAGCGCUCCCUGCCAUUACAGUCAGCGCUCCCUGCCAGUACAGUCAGCGCUCCCUGCCAGUACAGUCAGCGCUCCCUGUCAGUACAGUCAGCGCUCCCUGCCAUUACAGUCAGUGCUCCCUGCCAGUACAGUCAGCGCUCCCUGCCAGUACAGUCAGUGCUCCCUGCCAGUACAGUCAGUGCUCCCUGUCAGUACAGUCAGUGCUCCCUGCCAGUACAGUCAGUGCUCCCUGCCAGUACAGUCAGCGCUCCCUGCCAGUACAGUCAGCGUUCCCUACCAGUACAGUCAGCGCUCCCUGCCAUUACAGUCAGCGCUCCCUGCCAGUACAGUCAGCGCUCCCUCCCAGUACAGUCAGCGCUCCCUGCCAGUAGUAGUACAGUCAGCGCUCCCUGCUAGUACAGUCAGCGCUCCCUGCCAUUACAGUCAGCGCUCCCUGCCAUUACAGUCAGCGCUCCCUGCCAGUACAGUCAGCGCUCCCUGCCAGUACAGUCAGCGCUCCCUGUCAGUACAGUCAGCGCUCCCUGCCAUUACAGUCAGUGCUCCGUGCCAGUACAGUCAGUGCUCCGUGCCAGUACAGUCAGUGCUCCGUGCCAGUACAGUCAGUGCUCCGUGCCAGUACAGUCAGUGCUCCCUGCCAGUACAGUCAGUGCUCCCUGCCAGUACAGUCAGUGCUCCCUGCCAGUACAGUCAGCGCUCCCUGCCAGUACAGUCAGUGCUCCCUGCCAGUACAGUCAGUGCUCCCUGCCAGUACAGUCAGCGCUCCCUGCCAGUACAGUCAGCGCUCCCUGCCAGUACAGUCAGUGCUCCCUGUCAGGACUAGUACAGUCGGUGAUCCCUGCCAAUCAGUGCUCCCUAUCAGUACCUAGAGUCAUUAUUAUUUUAUGCGUUAUUCAGGCUACCGAUAUAUCGGUGGCCUUGGAUAAUACAUGUGACUGAAGGUCCAAUAACCGGUGCGGAAAAGAUGUAUAGGUACCACAGGCCUUGCCAAGAAAUUAGGACGAAACGUGACACGCUCACCCGCCUUGCCCCGGGCUUAUGGGCUAGACUAGCGCCUGUGGUAUAAGGUGAUUCUUCAAGACACGCUUGCAUCAGUUCCCGCAACUCUUGCCAUUUAUAUUCAUGAUUGUAUUUUCACAGGCGCACCCAUCGUGGCCUCCACGCCUCACUUCUAUAUGGGGGCUGAGGAGUACAUCAACCAGUCGAUCGGCCUUUCACCCGAUAAGAAUCGUCACCAGACGUUCAUUGACAUUGAACCGUACACCGGUCUGGCGAUGAAUGGAGGAAAAAAGAUCCAGAUCAACCUGCAAACCAAACGCUACCAAGGGCUCAUUAAAGUCAAAGGACUGGAACACAUCCCUGAAAUGUUAUUCCCCCUAAUCUACACGAACGAGACCGCCACCAUCGACCAGGCCCACGCCGACGAGCUCGACAGCGAGCUGAUGACGCCGCUGAAGAUCCUGACGGGCACCCAGUGGGCGCUGAUAGCCGUCGGCGCACUGCUCGUGGUCGUGGCCGCCGUGAUGCUGGUCCGUAGCAGGAGCCGCGUGCAGACGGUGUAGCAGCAGAACCAGCGCUCAUGCUGCGCCUCACGUAGCAGGGCCGGUCUCUGACCGACGACCGACACUCGCGCUGUGCAAUGGACGACUCGGCUCAGUGCCGGGACAGAUGGGAGCCCUCGGCGGCCCUCUGUGACGGACGCCCGCGCUGACCAAUGCUAACACAGUGGCGCGGAAAGGAGCGCACUGGCCCACCGUGCGCGGCGGCCCGGCCGAGGUCGCCGCACAGUGGGCGGGGCGAGCGGAGAGCCAGUAGGGUGACCCGGUCGCCGAUACCGCGGCACCCCGGCACAGGCCUCGCCUGCGCUGCCCCGUGUCACUGCCGCGCUCACUGGCCUCUCAGCUUAACGGAGCUGUUCUCGUGUGCCAAUGUGCGCUCAUGUAUGUAUAAGAUGUGUAUUAUAUGUAAUUAUUGGCUAGUUUCGGAGACAUCACGUAUGUGCCUGAAGUGACUCGCAAUUCACGUGAACUAUAUGGUAUAUAAAUGAUGUUUGCUUGUGGACAAGAAAUAUGUGUUUGCAAUGUCAAUAACGCCACUAUAUAUGCAAAAUAAAGAAAAAUUAUGUAAAUAAACCACGGUGAACAAAAUA